UACGUAGGGGUCGAGCGUUGUCCGGAGUUACUGGGCGUAAAGCGUGUGCAGGCGGCUCAUUGCGUCCGGCGUGAAAGCCCCCGGCUCAACCGGGGAGAGUCGUCGGGGACGGGUGAGCUUGAGGGUAUCAGGGGCUGGUGGAAUUCCCGGUGUAGUGGUGAAAUGCGUAGAUAUCGGGAGGAACACCCGUGGCGAAGGCGGCCAGCUGGGAUACACCUGACGCUGAGACACGAAGGCGUGGGGAGCGAACGGG
rnacentral:rRNA from 1 species